AGAGUUUGAUCCUGGCUCAGGACGAACGCUGGCGGCGUGCUUAACACAUGCAAGUCGAGCGGAAAGGCCCUUCGGGGUACUCGAGCGGCGAACGGGUGAGUAACACGUGAGCAAUCUGCCCCUAGCUCCGGGAUAGCUCCGGGAAACCGGAAUUAAUACCGGAUACGACCCUAGCUGACAUCGGCCAGGGUGGAAAGUUU
rnacentral:rRNA from 1 species